CAAAGUGCUGUACAUUAAAACACAACAUAAUUAAAAAAAAAAAAACAACUCUUACAGUUUAAAAACAAACACAAUUUCAAACUGGAUCCCACUGGAGCUGAAAGCCAAGUAAAAUAGAUGGUUUUAAGACGAGCUUUAAAAGUGGGAUAUAUUCAGCAGGUAUAAAUCUUGCAGUGAAUUCUCUUUCUGUUGGUAAGCCAGCUUGUCCACAGACAUGAUCUGUUUUCACAUUCCUGUUUUACUUCCUGCCAAAGUGCCAUCAAAGAAGACAUGUUGCUGCUCUCAGGCAGCAGUGUGUUCAUCGUUUUAUUGAAACUUCCUUGGAAACAGAAAUACUGUCAUGUUUGGAUUGUUUGAUAUAUUAGAAAGCACAGUUGAAAGAGCUAUUUAUGUAUAAAAACACAAUCUCUUUUCCUCACAGUCUGACAUUUAUUCAGAUAAAACUGUUCUUGGUCAGUUAGGAUCACUAUAAUGAGUGAGAUGCAUUAGUUUAGAUUUUUUAAACAUAUUUUACAUUGAAAGGCUUUGAUACAUUUCCUCAGUAUUGAGUAGAAUUCUCUGUUAAGCUUUUUUGACAUGGGUCAAAAGUUUCUGGUAACUUUUUUCAGUCUCAGACUGGUUUACCUUUACAGUCCAUUCUCUAAGACAAACUUGAACUGAGUCAUGUUUGUAGGCUGCCUUGCUCACACACAGCUUUAUACUGUAGAUCUGCCCAGUAAUAUUUUGGAACUCAUUUGUCUCUUUGGGUCACUGUCUGUUUUGAAGACCCAUAUCUACCCAAGUUUUAACUUCCUGGUUGAUCUUUUGAGACAUUGCUUCAAUAUUUCCCCACAGCAGUCUUUGUUCAUCAUGUCAGCUAUUUUGAUCAGUGCAUCUGCAGAAAAACAAUCACACAGCAUGACACUGCCACUCCCAUACCUCAAAGUUGGCUUCCAAGCUUCUGCCUUUUUACUUCAGAUGUUAAAAUGGUCAUUAUGGUCAAAUACUUCAACUCUAGUUUGAUCAGACCUGAACAUGUCGCCAGAACCUAAAGCGUUUAUCCCAGAAUGCAUCUGCAAACUGAAAUAUCAUCAUCCAUCGCCAGCAUCUUCACCAGAUCUCCUACUUUUGUUUUGGGGUUGAUGCACACAUUUCACACCAGGUCCUUCCUGACUGGAGUUCAUACUCAGCAGUGAUUGUUUAAAUAAAUGAACCUGGCACCUUCAAGCCGUGGAUGAACCAUAUUUUCAGUUGGCUGAUUUCUUUGGAUUUUCCCAUGAAAACACACAUUAAACAUUUUGUUUGAGUUGCAGCUCAGAUGUUGUGAAUUAACCUUUAAAUUAAUAGCCGCUAAAAGCAUGGCUUCAUCAAACGCUAUGCUUAGACAAAUUCUUUAAAGGUAUGGUAAUCCUCAUGUAUAGAAACUUUGAAUUUGAAGAAAGAUAAAAAUUCUCUAAAGAAGUUCAGCAAAUAGAAAUAAUUUUUUCUGAUUUAAUGUUAGUGAGAAAAUGACUUUAAUGUUUUAUACAGUAUGUAAGUAUCAGGUUUCCACUGUGUUGGCUCUGUCAGAAAAUAGACAGAAUACAAUAAAUAUGUAUAACUGCUGCUUUGUAUAUUAUGAUUUUUAUGGCUUCUGCUCAGAUGUUAGUUUGCUUAUUAUGAAAUUUUAGCUGUCAUGAUGAGGCUUAUAGGAUGAUAAAAUGCUGUUGGUAUGUGUUGAUGUAUUUUUAACUUCAUCGAAAAUGGUUAAAGGAAAAAAUAUGUAACUUUUAUGACAUAGUGGGCAUUAUUUUAGAAGCAUGGCUGAAUGUGACUCGUGUUUUAGCAGCUUGACUCUAGUCAGGAAGGACGGGCUUCAGAUAUCCUGAUCACUCAACAAAAAAGCACAUUGUUGUGCUGACGUUUGACCUGGUUUGAUGUUUUGCAGUUGUUAGAUUAUACAAAGGAUUUCAUAGAAAAUUGGGUCUAUUGUCCUGAAUCAGAGUUGGUGGAAGGAUGAAAAGCAUGACCAUCGUGUGAUGAAAGGAGUUAGAGCCCCUAAACUCUGAAAACUGAAUGUAGAAAAGGAGGAAAGAGAAGUGUGAUGGCAGUCUAUCAUCAUCCGACUGGGAGGAUGGAGAAGCGAUUCAUGGUCCGGGUGGAGCCAGAGGCAGCGCAUGGUCCAGGUUCUAAUGGAAGGAUGGGGAAACAUGGCGGCAGAUUGUAGUCCUGUUGGAAGAGCAAUGAAGUGAGAUGGAAACAUGUUGUAUUCCUCUUAAGAGCAUGCGGAGGUCGGUGGUGGUUGAGAACUAUUUUUUAUUGUUUUAUUUUAAUUUUUUUAAACAUAUUUAGCCUCUGGUGAACUUUAUUGAUUAAUACAGCAACUAAGGAGGAGACAGAAGACAAGUGGAAGACAAGCAGCAAAAGGUCUGAGAUAAGGAAUGGAAGCGGGGACAACUGCAUCAAGGACCAGAACCUCUGGUCAUGGUGCACGCUUCUCCCUGAACUACCAGAACCACCCAGAACUACCAGAACCACCCAGAACCACCCUGAGUAGAGAACAGCAGAAAAAACUUCUUUGAAAACUACUCGCAGCAGAUCAGCGUCAUGGGGAAGCUUUUGCUAAUUCACUGGAACCCAUCAGUUCUGAUAGUUCAUGUGGAGCAUCCAGUGUGAUGAAGGUCUUAAAGCUCCCUGUGGGGCGCUCACAAAACCAUUAUUCAUUUUAAAAUGCUUGCACACUAAUGUAGAGAAAGGAAGUUAUAAUGAAUGUCAAAAGGAAGCCAUUGAGAAUUUAUCUAAAAAUAUUUAGAAGUGUUCAAGUUUGUUUACAAAUCAAAAUGUAUUUUAAUAAGUUUAAAAAUAUUAAUAUUUUCUUUUAUGCUUAUUUAGUUAAAACAAAAUUCUAUUAGAGAUAAUACAUAGAGUGUUGGAUUGUCUAGAAGGUUCAGACUGAAUAAAGUUGUAUUUAGGAUCUUUAAUGAAUGUUAGCAACAAUCAAUGCUGGCAAGGAUGAACUAUUCCAGUUUGCUAGUUUGGAAAAAUUGCACUUUUUGAGAUAUAUUUCAAACAUGUAAUUCUAACAUUUUGAAGUUUAUUCUUUCACAGUUGCGUUUACUUAUUUUUACACUAAUAUUAUAUGUGAUAAUGGGCAAAAACUUCUUCUGGUGCUGUCUCCAAACUGUGCCAUUAAAACCACUGCAGAAAGAGAGCAGACGCAGAGUACCUUUUUGUUGUUUUUGCAAUCUUUAUAAAUAAGAGUAUAACUGCUUUGUCAGCCACAAUUAGAAGGUGGAAACCUUCUUACAUUACAUACCACAAAUACAAUGUUUCUCAUUCAUUAUAAGCUAGGAAUUGACAUCACAUGCAGUGUAAUUUUGUUUAACUUGGAUAGUUCUGAGAAUGAAAAUAAAACUGAGUUUAUGUGUGCACAUCCCACCCAGAAUAUGAGUGAGACUGUCAUAUAGUCAAAAUACAGAAACAAAUGUGGCCUCCGCCUAGGGAAGCUGCAAAACCCAGGGCUAAUGCUACUUGGUAUGCUAUUGGCUAGCAUAGCAGCCAAUCCAGGUGUACCUUUCAUUUUCCUUGGUACUGAUUGGAUGUACCCCCAAGAGAUGAGGUUGACUGUGGAUGCUAACUUCUGCCAACAGGGUACCACUAUGCACAUUGAUGCAUAUUAAAGUAUAUUUGGUGUAGGAAAUAUUAAAAUAGGGAGUUCAAAGCUUUUUUAGCUAUUUGCUGGUAGAUGUGGUCCAUAACUUCCAACAAUACUGGGGGUCACCCAUGCAUUCAUUUAUCCCUGUGUAUAGUUCUGCAAAAAGGAAAGAAUAGUUUGAUAAAUGUUAGUAAAUGUGAUUUCUAAUCAACCCAUGAUGUGAUCUAGUCUGGUGUUGACACUUAUAACCCGACACCUGAAUCAGUUUCAGGUUGGAAUUAUUAUAUAUGCUUUCAGCAGGAUGUUGUUGAAAAUCUCCUUGCUUAACAACUACUGUUCAAUGUAAAUGUAAAGAAAUUUUAUUUCAAAGCCUAAAGUCAUUUGUCAAUGGAAAUUUAUGUCCAUUUAUUUGAUGUUGUGAAAUGUUAGUGAUCUUAUUUACCUUUUCUUUUUCUGGAAUAUAACAUUUAAGAUCAGGCUGUACUGGCACAAGUCUUAGCAACCUGGAAGUACAACUUAGAUCCACGCAAGAAAUGAGUCGACCCCAAAACAUUCCAACAAAUCUCACUUAUUCACUGAAAAUUAAUUGAACUGUCCUUGACUUAAAAAAUUAUUGAGUUUGCUGUUUAAAAUGUUGAUCAAUUUCCAGCUUGAUGACAUGAGAAGCAUUCUAAAGAGCUGAUUACAUUCUGUGGUCCAUCCUCUAGUCUGAACUGCUUUUUAUGUCGUUGCUGUGGAGCUGCAUUAUUAUUAUUAUCAAAGUAGUUUUAUCAAGUGUUUACAGUUCAUAUGUUGAUUUAAUCUUUCAUUCAUUCAAACCAUGGUGAAAGCUUUUCUGUAAGAACUUUGGUGUCCUGGACAAACAGACUUACUUAAUACUACCUACUGUUCCAAAGUUAAUGAAAUGGAAAGAGGAUGGUUCAGAGAAAAUGAUUUACAUACUACGUAUUUCUAAUACUUUGUGUGUUUUCUUUCUAUGGCUUGUAGUAUUAAACAUUAAGUAGAUAUUUCUCUUAGUGUAUAGCUUUUAUUUACUCUGGCUAAAUGUGAAUAUUUGGCAUAGUCACUCUAUAGUGUUCUGACAGGGUGGGGACUGACUUCCCGGUCAGGUCAGUAGUGAGCUAUGAAGGGAUCGCUGUAACGUCUGAGAGCAUCAAGUCCAUCUAACACCACUAAUUAGGGUCCCUUUGUUUCCAGACACGUUUAAAUGCUGAAACACUUGCAGUGGGUUUGUCUGAGAAACUGGUGCUUGGAUGUGGAAAUGACAUCAUGCCGAAUCAGAAAACAAAUUGCUUUGUUGCUAACUACCAUUAGCAAUUCAAGCCAACAGAAUUAAUUUUCUCUCUGUUUUAUGUUAAAAGGCUAAAGAGACAUGUUCAUAUGUAGGGGUUGUAAAUGUGAUACACAAUGUUAAAAUGCUGCAACCUUCACUGGAUUUUAUAUGCAGUCAUAUGGGAUAGUGAACUAAGGGCUGUCCUGACUGACAGAGGCAUUCUUGGUACAGUACGAGUGUAAGAAAAGCAAAAUUAACCCUUAAAAUUUCCUACAAUUUAACUUUGAAUUACAUUAUGUAUCGCAUUAAGGCUAACAAUUCAUGUUUAAAGUUCCAACCAGCACCGAUGUUUGGUUGGAUCCCAGUCAAAUGAAGACUGGGACAGACCAAAGCUUCCUGAAGGACCGGUCUCCUGCAACUUUUAAAUGUCUCACACCAACAUUAGUUCAUCAGCAGAGCUCUGUAGAAUCUGACUGCCUGCAGGUUAGCCAUUUACAGUAAUUCCAGUGUGUACGAAAAGGCCCUCAAAGACUGGAGUUUCUAGUUGCUGCAUAUUUCAUUUGUCCCGAUUUUUACAUUGGAUCGGAUCCAGUGGGUCUUGGCCUUAACAGUAUGUCUCAGUAGAUUUGAUGCUACUGAAUUGCAUCUACUAAUGAAAAUGGUGCAUAAAAUAAAGAGAGUUCCAUUGCUAUCUGUUCUACUUUAGGCACACGUAGCAAAAUGGCACUGGGUGUCAGAUUUGAACCUUGAACAUGAUCCCAGGUCCAAAUUCCACAUUCUGAAGCAAAGGAAAUAAAUCAUAUGAAAUGCUACAAACUAGAAGACUCUUAUAUUUUUUUGUGUAUUAAAUAAGAGGUUGCUGAGCUAGCAAACUGUCCUACAGACAAAAAGCACUGAGGGCUUCACACUCUUGAUGUUUUAUGGACUAAAUAACAGGUUUUUCUCACAGAGCUGCUGCAGUGUUCCCUUUAUCAAGACACUGCCUCUAGACUGUUAAAGACAAAUGUCCAAGAAUGUCUCACACAAGUCCAACAUGGUCUAGAUUUACAUUUCUAAAAUGUUGCUGCUGUAAAGUGUUUUUGAAGGUUUAGUGUGGUUUUAGCUUGUUGCUUUUCAAAUAUGCUUAUUAAUGUGAGCUUUGCUGUUUCUAUUGCUGAAAAAAAAUAAAUAUUUCUAUCUUUUUACUUAUCCCAGUAAUGUGUUCAUGAGCUCAGACUAGAGGUCAGGUUUGCUCAUUGUUUCAAAGUGUUAGCCAGCUGCUGAUUCUGAGAUCAUGUUGGAAAGAACAGAUAUUUGGAAUCUGUUCCUAAACUCGAAUAAGUUUGACUAUAAGUGUGCUGACUCUGUAGCUACAAGUACAUCAGAAAAAUGAAGAUCAUGAAGAAGUUCAAUUCAAUUCAGUUUAUUUAUAUAGCACCAAAAUUCACAACAAAUGUCUCAAGGGACUUUACAAAAUAAUCAUUUCAGUUCAAUCACACACACAUUCCAAUUGAUUCUAGUUAUCAAACAGUACAGUAUGCUCAACUAAUUAUUCAAAGUGGCUUAAAAAGUUUUUACGUAAACCCAGCAGAGCAUCAAGUCAUUGACUUGCAGCAAUCCCUCAUACUGAGCAUGCAUGUAGUUACAGUGGAAAGGAAAAAGUCCAGUUUAGCAGGAAGAAACCUGCAGCAGAACCAGAACCUGGCUCAGUACAAGCAGCCAUCUUCCACACUGAGUUAAAGUUUAUUUUAUUUUUGUUACUCAUUUCAGAAAGUGAAACAUCAAUAGAUUAAUCACAUAGAGGGAAAUGUUGUCAUUUUGAUGAUUAUGGCUCACAGAUACUGAACACCUAAAAUUCAAUGUCUUGGGAAAUGUGAAUAUUACAAAAAGGAACAUUUUAGAAUCUCAUGGUGAAACUGACACCAUAAUAAGUGAAUUAACCUGCAAACAGCUGAAGGUUUCCUGAACGCUCUCUCACUCUGGGUCAGUCAGCUGCACAAUCUGCUGACUGGACAGACGGCCAGAAGACAGUCAUGGACACCGUCCACAAGGAGGGGAAGACGCAGCAGGUCAAUGCUGAAGAAGCUGGUUGUUCAGAGUGUUGCAUCCAAGCAUAUUCAGAGAAAGUUGAGUGGAAGGAAGAAGUGGUACCAGAAACGGGGAGGACUGACCUGACCUUUAACCCCACAAAGAAUCUCUGAGAUGUUGUUAAGAGAAAGAUGAGGCCCCAGACCCAACAAGGCAGAUGACCUGAAGGCAGCUAUCAAAGCUACCUGGACUUCGUUACAGCUGAGCAGAACCACAGGCUGAUCUCCUCCAUGCUGCGCUGCGUUGAUGCAGUAAUUCAUGCUAAAAGAGCCACAAUCAAGAACUGAGUGCAGAGAAAUGAACUGACUUUCCAGCAGCUUCAUAUUUGUGUUUAAAACAUCCUUUUUCAUUAAUCUAAUGUAAUUUUCUGAGACACUGCAUUUUGGGUUUUCAUUGUCUGUAAACUGUAAGCAGCCAAACUGCAAUUCAUAAGGACUUGAACUAUUUCACUCUCUGUGUAAAGUGUCUGUUCUGACAAGAAAUAUUCAACUUUUUCACAAUAUUCACAUUUUGAGAAGUAUGUCUAUAUUUCUGAGGACAGUGUAUCAUUGAUUUGAAACAAUAAGCAUUUUAGAUUGUCUUUAUAUAGAGGAGCAUAAAGUCUUCAGAGAUGGAAAAAAACUUGUAUUUUUUUAUAUGACAGUUACAGUGAUUAGUCACUGUAGCGCAAGAUUGUUUUUUUUAUUAUUUCUUCUCCAUUCUUGGAAUUAGAACCUAAGCAUUUCUUUUCCCCAGCCUUUAGUGAGUGAGCAGUGCUGCAUCACUGAGAAGUAAACGCCUUUCAGAUGAAGAGAUUGUGUCUAACUGAGAUUUUUCUCAGCCUGUUUUGUGCUUUCACAUCAUCUUUGCCAACAUGCAGACCAUGGAGUGUUUUAAGAAAGCCACCAGCUCAGACAUUGAAACUGGGAUCAAAGUUAAACAAGGGAAAUGUGUGAGAGUUGCUCUUGAACUGACACUAUGUCAUCCAUAAGGUGACUUCCACAUUCAAAGUGUCACAUGAAGACAAGCACUGCCUUGCUGAGAGGAAACGGAAAGGUUUCUACAUGCAGUGGAGUUCAGACUAGCAGCUAACCGUUGAUGUGAUGAAGAGAAUUAACUGUUACUGUACCAUCACUGAUCAGUUCAGUGUACCGAUACUGACAAAUAUCAAAGUUUCUGUUUUGCAGUGGUGUUUCUGUAACAAAAUAAAGGUUUGAUAUCAAAAGACA